AAAAUGAAGACAAGGCAGAAGACACGGUCGUGCCACCUUCUGAACCCCAACAGAGUACCAUCAGCACUGAAAAAUGUGAAGUCAAGGACGUUGGUGUCCAGACAGAGGUUUCCUGCCCUCCCAACUCGCUGCUGUUUUUCUGCACGAAAAAGGUGACCUUAGAUGAUGAGCCGCGUUGUCCUGAAGUCAAUGAGAGAGAUGAGCCAGUUU